rnacentral:lncRNA from 1 species
CCAAUUUGCAGAUCAAAGUAUGAGCUCUCAGACAUUCUUGCAGCUGUACCUUUGCUCUGCUAACAUGGACUCUAACCCUCUGAAAUGGUAAGCCCAGUAAAAUGUUUUCUUUUCUCAGCUGCCUUGGUUUUGGUGUCAUAUCAAUAGGAAAAUGACUCACACAGACGUUAGUAGCAGCCAGAAAGAACCAGUCCAGAGGAGGCUGCAAGUGAGAGACCACAGAGAGAAUACCAAUAUGUCUCCUGAGACCAACUCCUUCCUGUGAGCUCCACAGUGAACCGCAGAGCACCUAGGGGUCUG